AUUGAACGCUGGCGGCAGGCUUAACACAUGCAAGUCGAGCGGAGAUGAGGUGCUUGCACCUUAUCUUAGCGGCGGACGGGUGAGUAAUGCUUAGGAAUCUGCCUAUUAGUGGGGGACAACAUUCCGAAAGGAAUGCUAAUACCGCAUACGUCCUACGGGAGAAAGCAGGGGAUCUUCGGACCUUGCGCUAAUAGAUGAGCCUAAGUCGGAUUAGCUAGUUGGUGGGGUAAAGGCCUACCAAGGCGACGAUCUGUAGCGGGUCUGAGAGGAUGAUCCGCCACACUGGGACUGAGGCACGGCCCAGACUCCUACGGGAGGCAGCAGUGGGGAAUAUUGGACAAUGGGGGGAACCCUGAUCCAGCCAUGCCGCGUGUGUGAAGAAGGCCUUAUGGUUGUAAAGCACUUUAAGCGAGGAGGAGGCUACUGAGACUAAUACUCUUGGAUAGUGGACGUUACUCGCAGAAUAAGCACCGGCUAACUCUGUGCCAGCUGCCGCCGUAAAAC
rnacentral:rRNA from 1 species